GACAGAGGGUGCAAACGUUGUUCGGAAUUACUGGGCGUAAAGCGCGUGUAGGCUGCUCGGAAAGUCGGAUGUGAAGCCCUGGGCUCAACCUAGGAAGUGCAUUCGAAACUUCCGAGCUGGAGUGCUGGAGAGGAAGGCGGAAUUCUCGGUGUAGAGGUGAAAUUCGUAGAUAUCGAGAGGAACACCAGUGGCGAAAGCGGCUUCCCUGGUCCAGCACCGGACGUUCAGGCACGGAAAAGCGAUGGGGAGCA
rnacentral:rRNA from 1 species